AUUGAACGCUGGCGGCAUGCCUAACACAUGCAAGUCGAACGGCAGCACAGUAAAGAUUCCGGUCUUUAUGGGUGGCGAGUGGCGGACGGGGGAGUAAUGCGUAGGAAUCUGUCCUGGAGAGUCGGAUAACCCGAGGAAACUCGGGCUAAUACUGCAUGAUAACGAGAGAUCAAAGGCAGGGGACCCUUCGGGGCCUUGCGCCCGAGGAUGAGCAGACGUCGGAUUAGCUAGUUGGUGGGGUAAAGGCCUACCAAGGCGACGAUCCGUAGCUGGUCUGAGAGGAUGACCAGCCACACUGGGACUGAGACACGGCCCAGACUCCUACGGGAGGCAGCAGUGGGGAAUCUUGGACAAUGGGGGAAACCCUGAUCCAGCGAUGCCGCGUGUGUGAAGAAGGCCUUCGGGUUGUAAAGCACUUUAGUUGGGGAAGAAAAGUAAUGAGUGAAUAACUGAUUGCUCUGACGGUACCCAAAGAAUAAGCACCGGCUAACUCUGUGCCAGCAGCCGCCGUAA
rnacentral:rRNA from 1 species